UACGGGAGGCAGCAGUGGGGAAUAUUGCACAAUGGGCGCAAGCCUGAUGCAGCCAUGCCGCGUGUAUGAAAAAGGCCUUCGGGUUGUAAAGUACUUUCAGUCGUGAGGAAGGUGUUAAGGUUAAUAACCUUAGCAAUUGACGUUAGCGACAGAAGAAGCACCGGCUAACUCCGUGCCAGCAGCCGCGGUAAUACGGAGGGUGCGAGCGUUAAUCGGAAUUACUGGGCUAAAGGGCACGCAGGCGGUUAAUUAAGUUGGAUGUGAAUCCCCGGGCUUAACCUGGGAAUGGCAUUCAAGACUGGUUAGCUAGAGUCUUGUAGAGGGGGGUUAGAAUUCCAUGUGUAGCGGUGAAAUGCGUAGAGAUGUGGAGGAAUACCGGUGGCGAAGGCGGCCCCUGGACAAAGACUGACGCUCAUGUGCGAAAGCGUGGGGAGCAAACAGGGAUUAGAUACCCGU
rnacentral:rRNA from 1 species